GAUGAACGCUGGCGGCGUGCCUAAUACAUGCAAGUCGAGCGAACAGACGAGGAGCUUGCUCCUCUGACGUUAGCGGCGGACGGGUGAGUAACACGUGGAUAACCUACCUAUAAGACUGGGAUAACUUCGGGAAACCGGAGCUAAUACCGGAUAAUAUAUUGAACCGCAUGGUUCAAUAGUGAAAGACGGUUUUGCUGUCACUUAUAGAUGAAUCCGCGCCGCAUUAGCUAGUUGGUAAGGUAACGGCUUACCAAGGCAACGAUGCGUAGCCGACCUGAGAGGGUGAUCGGCCACACUGGAACUGAGACACGGUCCAGACUCCUACGGGAGGCAGCAGUAGGGAAUCGUCCGCAAUGGGCGAAAGCCUGACGGAGCAACGCCGCGUGAGUGAUGAAGGUCUUCGGAUCGUAAAACUCUGUUAUUAGGGAAGAACAAAUGUGUAAGUAACUAUGCACGUCUUGACGGUACCUAAUCAGAAAGCCACGGCUAACUACGUG
rnacentral:rRNA from 1 species